rnacentral:rRNA from 1 species
AACGAACGCUCGCGACGUGCCUAACACAUGCAAGUCGAGCGAUCCAAUGGGAGCUUGCUCCCGGCGGAGAGCGGCAGACGGGUGAGUAACACGUGGGUAAUCUGCCUUUGAGUGGGGGACAACCCGGGGAAACUCGGGCUAAUACCGCAUAACACCAUCGAGUCUCUGGGCUUGAUGGUCAAAGCUGGGGAUCUUCGGACCUGGCGCUUAAAGAGGAGCCCGCGCCCGAUUAGCUAGUUGGUGGGGUAAUGGCCUACCAAGGCUGCAAUCGGUAGCCGGCCUGAGAGGGUGAUCGGCCACACUGGAACUGAGACACGGUCCAGACUCCUACGGGAGGCAGCAGUGAGGAAUCAUGCGCAAUGGGGGAAACCCUGACGCUGCGACGUCGCGUGAGUGAUGAAGGCCUUCGGGUCGUAAAACUCUGUCGAGAGGGAAGAAAUGCGCAUCGGUUAAUACCCGGUGCGUUUGACGGUACCUCUGGAGGAAGCCCCGGCUAACUCCGUGCCAGCAGCCGCGGUAACACGGAGGGGGCGAGCGUUGUUCGGAAUUACUGGGCGUAAAGCGCGCGUAGGCGGCGAAGUAAGUCGGACGUGAAAUCCCUCGGCUCAACCGAGGAACUGCGUCCGAUACUGCUUGGCUUGAGUUUGGUAGGGGAUAGCAGAAUUCCCGGUGUAGCGGUGGAAUGCGUAGAUAUCGGGAGGAAUACCGAUGGCGAAGGCGGCUAUCUGGGCCAAUACUGACGCUGAGGCGCGAAAGCUAGGGGAGCAAACAGGAUUAGAUACCCUGGUAGUCCUAGCUGUAAACGAUGGGCACUUGGUGUCGCGGGUUUCUACCCCUGCGGUGCCGGAGCUAACGCAUUAAGUGCCCCGCCUGGGGAGUACGGUCGUAAGGCUGAAACUCAAAGGAAUUGACGG